GAAAUGCGAUAAGUAAUGUGAAUUGCAGAAUUCAGUGAAUCAUCGAAUCUUUGAACGCACAUUGCGCCCCUUGGUAUUCCAUGGGGCAUGCCUGUUCGAGCGUCAUUUGUACCCUCAAGCUCUGCUUGGUGUUGGGUGUUUGUCCCCGUCUCCGCGCGUGGACUCGCCCCAAAGUGAUUGGCAGCCGACGUACUGGUCCCGGAGCGCAGCACAUGUCGCGCAAACGAGUGCCUUGGUACGGCGGCGUCCAUAAGCCCCUCUCUCACGCUCUUGACCUCGGAUCAGGUAGGGAUACCCGCUGAACUUAAGC
rnacentral:misc_RNA from 1 species